GAUCCCGUCGUCUAGCGGCGAAGACAUCCCUUUGACGUGGGGAAGAGCGGUGGUUCGAGUCCACCCGGGAUUA
rnacentral:tRNA from 1 species